rnacentral:tRNA from 1 species
GGUGACUCAGUGGUAGAGUGCUUGCCUUGCUUGCAUGAGGACCUGAGUUUGAUUCCUCAGCACCA